ACAGUAUUCUGCACAUUGGUUA
rnacentral:miRNA from 1 species